ACUUAGGGGCGCCGCCACGCAGCCUGCGGAGCGUUCGGGAGGCUGGCCCGGCUCAUCGGUGUCACGGCGAGGUCCGGAGCGGAGCCGCGGUCUCGGGUCCCAGCUCUGGGCGCCGGCCUGCUCCCCGCCGCCCCGCUGCCACAUCUGGCUGAGAUCCUCCCGGCGCGUGCAGGGACCGCUCCGGCGGCCAACAAAGGCCCGGGCGAGCCCUCGGCCUGCGCCUCGGCGCGCGACCCGACCACCCGGGGCUGCCCCAGCUCCCAGGCGCCUGCCUGCCUCGACCCGGCCCCUUCCCAGCGGCGCGCCCCGCUCCGGGCCGCCCAAACUGGGCGGCCUCCCCGGGGACAGGUCCCGGGCCCAGCCCCACAGGAGCUCCCGAGGCCCCGCGGACGGUCGCGACAGCCCCAACUUCCCGGUGAGAACCCCGCGAAUCGGCCAGAAGGGCUGAUUUCAGCAACUGGGAAGGAGAAAAACAACUAGGGUUUCAACGCACAUCGUUGGGUGCUAAUGCCCCUGAUUUUCCACUAUGCCCCGUUUUCUUGAACCCCAUGUCCUUAUCUGUCGCCGUUUCACAAGGUUAGAGGUUAACUUCAAAGGCAAAAAACUGACUCGUUUGUAGAAAGCCUGGGUGGUCUGUCCCUGUUUUUCAUAGUAUCCAUAGGACUUGUGCUAACAGUAACUACCCCUGGGUACGUCCUCUUUUGAAUACUUAACUGUAUAGCAGGCAACCGUAUAGCAGGCAUGGGUGUUAGAUCGUUUAUUGCAUAUCUCAUGUUUUAAAUUUAUUCCCCAUUUUUCAUAAGAGGAAACUAGCUGAGAGGUGAAAGGGCUUGCCCAAGGUCACACAGCUGGUAAUGGUUCAAAAACAAGGGAUGUGUUAACUUUAUUGCCGCAAUAAUCCUUACAGCAAUCCUACCGAGUAACCUGUAAGGGAAUUGAGGGGCCAAAGAUCAAGGAGGCAGCCUUGUUCCUGCCAAACUCCCAAAGUAAUAAGUAGAUUCUUUUCAGAAAACAGUAAUUUCAAUAAUCGAAAACUCUUAAGAGGCAUCAAUCAGAACAGGGUCCCCUCCCCACCUCCGAUAAAUUCCAUUAUUUUUAUCUCAAGAUAAGAAUAAUUAAUAAUCAGCUAGAACAUGCAUGGAGUUAUCAGCCUUCCCAUGUUGAGGUUUCUCCAUGACGGCUAAUUUAAAACUUCAGGAAGAGACACGUAACAUCCCUGCUCCCAUAGUCUCUUACUAGUUUAGGGGAACCAUACCAAAAGAUCUGUCCACUGCCCAGCACUGUGGACACAACUUGGGGGAUCACAGCCAUGAUAUCCAAUGACAGCUCUUCCCUCUACUUUGAGUGUGUUUUCUCUCUACUUCCGGUUUGGCUGUGUCCCCACCCAAAUAUCAUCUUGAAUUGUAAAUCCCACAAUUCCUGUGUGGUGGGAGGAACCUGGUGGGAGGUAAUUGAAUCAUGGGGGAGGGUCUUUCCCAUGCUGUUCUCGUGAUAGUGAAUAAGUCUCACGAAAUCUGAUGGUUUUAAAAAAGGGAGUUUUGCUGCACAAACUCUCUUUGCCUGCCACCAUCCAUGUAAGAAGUGACUUGCUCCUCCUUGCCUUCCACCAUGAUUGUGAGGCCUCCCCUGCCAUGUGGAACUGUAACUCCAUUGAACCUCUUUUGUCCGUUGCCCAGUCUUGGGUAUGUCUUUAUCAGCAGCAUGAAAACGGACGAAUACAUUGGGGACCUGAAAGCCAGGUUUCCUGUAUUCUAUGACAAAGCCAUUGCCAAGUAGCAAGCUGGCAAUUUGAUUCAUGACCAGAUGUAAACAGAGGUAAAGACUGAGACCAUUCCAAGGUAAAGCUUUUAAUACAUUGUUGGAUAUAUCCUGCCUAAAAUAUCUCCUAGGAAUAGAUGAUUCUAGGCUUUGCUAUUACAGUGCUCUUAAUGACAGACAAGCAAACUACUUCUUGCAGAGGAAGAAAGUCCUGCCAUUUGAUAACAUCAUGGAGAAUGCCCCCAAGCCAUUUUCAUGAAUUACCCAAAAGACCAAAUGGAACAGGAGCUAUUAUCCCUAUUUUAUUCACGAAGAAACUGAGGCCCUGAGAAAUUAAGACAUUUGACAGAUACAAACAGUAAUUUAGGCAAUUAGUAAAUGUUUGAAUCAGAGUUCAAAUCCAGGUCUGUUUGAUUCCAGAGCCCCUACAUCACCCCUCCAGACUAUCUCUCUGCUCACAUCUUCAGCAAGUUACAAAAUUUUGUUGAGUGGAUGAAUAUUUUUACAUAUAUUUCCCAGCUGGGCACAGUGGCUCAUGCCCAUAAUCCCAGCACUUUGGGAGGCAGAGGUAGGAGGAUUGCUUGAGCCCAGGAGUUCGAGACCGGCCGGGGAAACAGAGAGAGACCCAUGUCUUUAAAAAAAUAAAAAUUAAAAAUUAGCCUGGUGUGCAUGCAUCAGUAGUCCCAGCUACUGGGAAGGCUGAGGCAUGAGGAUCAUUUGAGCCCAGGAGUUCCAGGCUGCAAUGAAAUAUGAUCAUGCCACUGCACUACAGCCUGGGUGACAGAGUGAGACCCUGUCUCUCUCUCUCUCUCUCUCUCUCUCUCUCUCUCUCUCUCUCUCUCAAAAGAAAGAAAAAAAAAAGCCAGGUGUGGUGGCU
rnacentral:lncRNA from 10 species